rnacentral:lncRNA from 1 species
GGAAGGGGUAAACCAGGACGCGCUGCCUCUUCUGGCUGCAGGAAGCCGAUUCAUCUGGUAGGAACCCAGGGAGCCGCACUAAGAACAAGGGCCCAGUCAUUCCUCUCUCAUGUCACGUGUGCAGUAUUGAUUACCUGUGUGAAGCCCCAAAAACAUGUAAGCUGACGGACAAAUACUGCGUGAUUGUGAUAAACGGUAAUGACCCCCAGCGCCUCCUUACCACCCAGUUGGUUGUUCCUUGUUUGUCUCU